rnacentral:snoRNA from 1 species
AGUGCACACAAAACCCAAAGGACAUUAUUUUGAUUAAUAAAAUGUUCUUGUCAUGUGUGCAGAUAUCAUAUGUACCAUGUCGCCUUUCAGGAGCUGAAGUGCUUUUGAAAGUGAAACUGAAGGUCCUACAUAC